AUAAUUAAAGUUUUAACAAUUUUAAUACUACAAAUUAGAAAUAUAAAAAUAGUUAUA
rnacentral:tRNA from 1 species